UAGGGAAUCUUCCGCAAUGGACGCAAGUCUGACGGAGCAACGCCGCGUGAGUGAAGAAGGAUUUCGGUUCGUAAAACUCUGUUGUUAGAGAAGAACAGCGCAUAGAGUAACUGUUAUGCGUGUGACGGUAUCUAACCAGAAAGCCACGGCUAACUACGUGCCAGCAGCCGCGGUAAUACGUAGGUGGCAAGCGUUGUCCGGAUUUAUUGGGCGUAAAGCGAGCGCAGGCGGUCAAUUAAGUCUGAUGUGAAAGCCCCCGGCUCAACCGGGGAGGGUCAUUGGAAACUGGUUGACUUGAGUGCAGAAGAGGGGAGUGGAAUUCCAUGUGUAGCGGUGAAAUGCGUAGAUAUAUGGAGGAACACCAGUGGCGAAGGCGACUCUCUGGUCUGUAACUGACGCUGAGGCUCGAAAGCGUUGGUAGCAAACAGG
rnacentral:rRNA from 1 species